CCUACGGGAGGCAGCAGUAGGGAAUCUUUCACAAUGGGCGAAAGCCUGAUGGAGCAACGCCGCGUGCAGGAUGAAGGCCUUCGGGUUGUAAACUGCUUUUAUAAGCGAGAAAUAUGAUGGUAACUUAUGAAUAAGGAUCGGCUAACUACGUGCCAGCAGCCGCGGUCAUACGUAGGAUCCGAGCAUUAUCCGGAGUGACUGGGUGUAAAGAGUUGCGUAGGUGGCAUAAUAAGUAGCUAGUGAAAUCUGGUGGCUCAACCAUUCAGACUAUUAGCUAAACUGUUAAGCUCGAGACCGUUAGGGGUAACUGGAAUUUCUGGUGUAGGAGUGAAAUGCGUAGAUAUUAGAAGGAACACCAAUAGCGAAGGCAGGUUACUGGGACGGUUCUGACACUAAGGCACGAAAGCGUAGGGAGCAAACGGGAUUAGAUACCCUAGUAGUC
rnacentral:rRNA from 1 species